rnacentral:tRNA from 1 species
AAGAAGUUUAGGUUACACAAACCAGUAGCCUUCAAAGCCACAAACAAGGACUAAACCCCUUAACUUU